AUCCAGAUGAUGAGUCCCAAAGAGGACGAAAAGUGCAUCCUGGAU
rfam:Schistosoma mansoni strain Puerto Rico chromosome 6, complete genome